AAUUUUGGACAAUGGGCGCAAGCCUGAUCCAGCCAUGCCGCGUGAGUGAAGAAGGCCUUCGGGUUGUAAAGCUCUUUCGGACGGAAAGAAAUCGCGCAGGCUAAUACCCGUCGCGGAUGACUGUAGCGUCAUAAGAAGCAACGGCUAACUACGUGCCAGCAGCCGCGGUAAUACGUAGGGCGCGGGCGUUAAUUGGAAGUACUGGGCGUAAAGAGUGCUCCGGCGGUUGAUGAAGACAGGCGUGAAAUCCCCGGGCUUAACCUGGGAACUGCGCUUGUGACUGGUCAGCUAGAGUACGGCAGAAGGGGGUGGAAUUCCACGUGUAGCAGUGAAAUGCGUAGAGAUGUGGAGGAACACCGAUGGCGAAGGCAGCCCCCUGGGCCGAUACUGACGCUCAUGCACGAAAGCGUGGGUAGCAAGCAGG
rnacentral:rRNA from 1 species